GAGUGAGGAAAGCAGGAACCAGGGGUUGUUUCUGUGCCAAUGUGCCCUGACUUGUGGCACCUGGGUGGGCUCCAGGGGAGCUGGGAUGUGGUGCAGGAGGUGCAGUCCUGUCUCUGGGAUGUGGUGCAGGAGGUGCCAUCCUGUCUCUGGGAUGUGGUGCAGGAGGUGCCAUCCUGUCUCUGGGAUGUGGUGCAGGAGGUGCCAUCCUGUCUCUGGGAUGUGGUGCAGGAGGUGCAGUCCUGUCUCUGGGAUGUGGUGCAGGAGGUGCCAUCCUGUCUCUGGGAUGUGGUGCAGGAGGUGCAGUCCUGUCUCUGGGAUGUGGUGCAGGAGGUGCCAUCCUGUCUCUGGGAUGUGGUGCAGGAGGUGCCAUCCUGUCUCUGGGAUGUGGUGCAG